AAGAAACCAAGAAUGAAGAUUUUCGCUAAAAAGAGUCUAGAUAAGAAAAAGAAUAAAAAAAACCUUCAACAUCUUAUGUGCAAUACAGAUGCAAUGUUUUUGGGUUUGCAAAUUCAAUGCAAUUGUAAAAGCCAAUGCUUCAACAACGUCAUGAUGUCUGCAAUCAUUUGGGCAAGACACCAUUUUGAAGUCCGAUCAAAUUCUACAUGGAUGAUGAAAUCGUUGCAACGGAGAGAAAAAGAAAGUCUGAUAUGGAUCUGAUCAAGAUUAUACAAUGCUAUGACUCCAAGCAACAAAAGUUCAAAUUUGGGGAUCUGAGCCAAGAGGAAUAACAAGUGAAGAUGUUGCUUAAAUAUUUGGUUUAAACAACCAAGGAGUUGAACUAUCAAACACAGACAAAUCCACAAAAAACAUGAAGGACAACUUUGUCAAAACAUAUUUUGCAAACCAAAAAAUAGUGAAAAAAAAAGGACAUUCUUGAAGCGUACCAAAAAUCAAUCCAAGACGAAACUCCUAAAGGGGCAAAGGCUACUGCUUCAACUAUAUGUGUGCAUCUCCUACAAUCCCUCUUAUUUGCAACCUUCGGAACAUACAUCACGUGGAGCUUCGUAACAAUUUGUGGGGCAUUGGACCAAAUCAGCAAAUACAACUAGGCAAAAGGAGUGAGGGACUACUUGUUCAAGCUGAUUAACAAAUCAAAGAAAAAGAGGAAAAAUGGAAAAGAAUCAGCAACAACAAGCGGAUGUAUUGCCCUUAUUCUGUAUUGGAUUUGUCUUCACACCAAUCUGGUGGAGACAAUAAGUGGACGAGAAAACAUGGUUCCUGCCAUUGGAAGAUGGGACAUAACCAAAAUCCACAAAGCAAUUAGAGAUAUUCCAGUUGAACAAAUUGAGAUUAGUGGUGGUAUUCCUUGUGCUAAACCGAAUGAGCCGAUUCUUGCUGCUAUACCUUCUGAAGAACCAACACAUGAGCAGUCUAACAUAAACCAAGAAGAAGAUAAUGUCCAUUCCUUCUCCUAAACAAAGAAACAAGCCUUCCAAGAAAAAAGAAAAGAAGACAACAGGAAGGAAAAGGAAGAGAACUGAAGUUGAAGCUCAACAAGAUCACAUUAUCACCAUCAAUGAAGCUCAGUUACAGUUUGAUCAACUAUACACAGAAGAAUUGAUGAAAUUUGAUGUAAUUUAUCAAAAGGACAUGAUAGGGAUUGAUACCACAUUAGGUGUGGAAGGUUUUGAAGAGUUUAAAGAUGUGCGAGCAUGGAUCAAAAGAGGAAUCUAGUCCUCAGUCACAUGAUGAUAUAUGCACUUGACAACCUACACACAGAUUCAAUUGUAACGAAUCAAACAACAGGAGCACUCAACAAAAACGUUGAAAAGCUUCUGCAAGAACAACAUGAAGACAAGCAGAAGAUUAGUUUAAUGAUAUUUGAAAUGAGACAGUUGCAAUUAAAGAACUCAGCAGCUUCUAUGAAAGUAAAAAAACUUCUGGAUGAAAUUGGAAGUUUGAAAGAGAAGCUACUGGAAAAGCAACCAAUAGUACUAGAUCUAAAUGCUUCAAUAGAGGAAGAUCAAAAUUUCAAGGAUCCAGAAAAGGAGGAACCACCUAAAGAAGAUCCAGAUAAUGAUGAUUGAAUUGAAGAGCAUACACAUGAUAAGGAUAUUGUUAUUGAUGAUCCAGUUCAAGAGAAUGCAACUGAAAAUGACGUGGCUAUGGAGGAUCCAGAACAAAGGCA